UGGGGAAUAUUGCACAAUGGGGGAAACCCUGAUGCAGCGACGCCGCGUGCGGGAUGAAGGCCUUCGGGUUGUAAACCGCUUUCAGCAGGGGCGAAUUCAGACGGUACCUGCAGAAGAAGCGCCGGCUAACUACGUGCCAGCAGCCGCGGUAAUACGUAGGGCGCAAGCGUUGUCCGGAAUUAUUGGGCGUAAAGAGCUCGUAGGCGGCCUGUUGCGUCCGCUGUGAAAUCCCGGGGCUUAACCCCGGGCUUGCAGUGGAUACGGGCAGGCUGGAGGCAGGCAGGGGAGAACGGAAUUCCCGGUGUAGCGGUGAAAUGCGCAGAUAUCGGGAGGAACACCGGUGGCGAAGGCGGUUCUCUGGGCCUGUACUGACGCUGAGGAGCGAAAGCGUGGGGAGCAAACA
rnacentral:rRNA from 1 species